UACGGGGGGAGCAAGCGUUGUUCGGAUUUACUGGGCGUAAAGGGCGCGUAGGCGGUCAGCACAAGUCAGUUGUGAAAUCUCCGGGCUUAACUCGGAAAGGUCAACUGAUACUGUGCGACUAGAGUGCGGAAGGGGCAACUGGAAUUCCCGGUGUAGUGGUGAUAUGCGUAGAUAUCGGGAGGAACACCUGUGGCGAAGGCGGCUUUCUGGGCCUUACCUGACGCUGAGACGCGAAAGCGUGGGGAGCGAACCGG
rnacentral:rRNA from 1 species